CAGCAGCCACGGUAAUACGUAGGUGGCAAGCGUUGUCCGGAUUUAUUGGGCGUAAAGCGAGCGCAGGCGGUCAAUUAAGUCUGAUGUGAAAGCCCCCGGCUCAACCGGGGAGGGUCAUUGGAAACUGGUUGACUUGAGUGCAGAAGAGGAGAGUGGAAUUCCAUGUGUAGCGGUGAAAUGCGUAGAUAUAUGGAGGAACACCAGUGGCGAAGGCGACUCUCUGGUCUGUAACUGACGCUGAGGCUCGAAGGCGUGGGUAGCAAACAGGAUUAGAUACCCCAGUAGUCCCUGUCUCUUAUAC
rnacentral:rRNA from 1 species